ACACGCUGGCGGCGUGCCUAACACAUGCAAGUCGAACGGAGAUAAGCGCUGAUGAUUUAGCUUGCUAGAGAUUCUUGUUUAUCUUAGUGGCGGACGGGUGAGUAACGCGUGAGCAACCUGCCUUUCAGAGGGGGAUAACGUCUUGAAAAGGACGCUAAUACCGCAUGAUAUUAUGGAGCCACAUGGCUCUAUAAUCAAAGGAGCAAUCCGCUGAAAGAUGGGCUCGCGUCCGAUUAGGUAGUUGGCGGGAUAACAGCCCACCAAGCCGACGAUCGGUAGCCGGACUGAGAGGUUGAACGGCCACAUUGGGACUGAGACACGGCCCAGACUCCUACGGGAGGCAGCAGUGAGGGAUAUUGGUCAAUGGGGGAAACCCUGAACCAGCAACGCCGCGUGAGGGAUGACGGCCUUCGGGUUGUAAACCUCUGUCCUCUGUGAAGAUAAUGACGGUAGCAGAGGAGGAAGCUCCGGCUAACUACGUGCCAGCAGCCGCGGUAA
rnacentral:rRNA from 1 species